AUGAUCACUGCUCUACCAAUUAGAGGUGAGCCGGUAGUCUCUCCACGAGUGUCUCCAUCUUGGGCAUUAGAUAUAGCAGCCCGUCUUGGGAUGGAAAUGCCAGAAUCACAACGUUCUGGUAACCCUCGGGGCAUCCCACUCGUCUGGCUUCGUGAUAACUUUCUUAAUUUAUCUAGCUUCGCCAAUGAGGAGACGAGAAAAAGACAUCUGUUUGCAUAUUUGUUGUGGCUCCUCGGGAAUCUAUUUCCAAAUUCACAUGGGGACGUUGUUGUCCCUGGUCUCAUCUACAUUGCAGAGAAUAUGGUAGAUGAACCUUUACCCGAGCAGCCAAAAUACAGCUUCGGUUCUGCCAUGCUAUCUCAUACAUACAGAGGCUUGUGUGAUGCCACGUAA
rnacentral:rRNA from 1 species